rnacentral:lncRNA from 1 species
UGUGUACUGGAGGAACCAGCCAAUUCCUGUUGAUGACAAGGAUGAUUUUAAGGAGUAGGACCUCCGCUGCUGUUUUUUGUCGAUGUUAGUUUGUUAGAUGAAGUUAAAAGCUCAAUCAUGUCUAUUAUGCAAAGGCAUGGCUGGGUAGCUUGCAUUUCUUGGCUGAAACUGCUUUUUGUUGUUGUUAGUUUGUUAGAUGAAGUUAAAAGCUCAAUCAUGUCUAUUAUGCAAUGGCAUGGCUGGGUAGCUUGCAUUUCUUGGCUGAAGCUGUAGAGGAAGCUAAAUUUUGGACCUUGGAAAGUUCUCCAAUUUAAUAUGUUAGAAGCAUAGCACUAAAGAGCCUUCCAAAAUAUUUUAAAUAUGUAUUGGGGCUGGGCUACCCAUGGCAUUGUAACCAAAACUUAGAAGGCUGUGCUUGUAAUGUUAAACUAGGAAAUUUUAGGUAGGACUCUUGGUUUACUGCAUCUAUUUAUUGGGAAAGAUAAGAUUAUGUUGGAUGAAGGACACGAGCUUGAUUUAAAAUUUUGAGCAGGGAGUAAAGGGGGUAAAGUGCAGUUAUACUGUUAUAACUUGUUUGGCCAAGUUUUUGGGGGGAGAAAAUUGUUUUUUCCUGUUAAAAAUGCUAUUUCA